rnacentral:rRNA from 1 species
GACGAACGCUGGCGGCGUGCCUAAUACAUGCAAGUAGAACGCUGAAGGAGGAGCUUGCUCUUCUGGAUGAGUUGCGAACGGGUGAGUAACGCGUAGGUAACCUGCCUGGUAGCGGGGGAUAACUAUUGGAAACGAUAGCUAAUACCGCAUAACAGUAGAUGUUGCAUGACAUUUACUUAAAAGGUGCAAUUGCAUCACUACCAGAUGGACCUGCGUUGUAUUAGCUAGUUGGUGGGGUAACGGCCCACCAAGGCGACGAUACAUAGCCGACCUGAGAGGGUGAUCGGCCACACUGGGACUGAGACACGGCCCAGACUCCUACGGGAGGCAGCAGUAGGGAAUCUUCGGCAAUGGACGGAAGUCUGACCGAGCAACGCCGCGUGAGUGAAGAAGGGUUUCGGAUCGUAAAGCUCUGUUGUAAGAGAAGAACGAGUGUGAGAGUGGAAAGUUCACACUGUGACGGUAUCUUACCAGAAAGGGACGGCUAACUACGUG